UACUGGGCGUAAGGGUGCGUAGGCGGGAUAUUAAGUUAGAUGUGAAAGCCCGGGGCUUAACUCCGGGAUUGCAUUUAAAACUGGUAUUCUAGAGUGCAGGAGAGGUAAGCGGAAUUCCUAGUGUAGCGGUGAAAUGCGUAGAUAUUAGGAAGAACAUCAGUGGCGAAGGCGGCUUACUGGACUGUAACUGACACUGAUGCACGAAAGCGUGGGGAGCAAACAGGAUUAGAUACCCUGGUAGUCCACGCUGUAAACGAUGAGUGCUAGGUGUAGGGGGCUAAGCCUUCUGUGCCGCAGUAAACGCAAUAAGCACUCCGCCUGGGGAGUACGGUCGCAAGACUAAAACUCAAAGGAAUUGACGGGGGCCCGCACAAGCAGCGGAGCAUGUGGUUUAAUUCGAAGCAACGCGAAGAACCUUACCAGGUCUUGACAUCGUCUGCAUAACAUAGAGAUAUGUGAAACCCUUCGGGGCAGAAUGACAGGUGGUGCAUGGUUGUCGUCAGCUCGUGUCGUGAGAUGUUGGGUUAAGUCCCGCAACGAGCGCAACCCUUGUUGUUAGUUGCUAACACAUAAUGGUGAGCACUCUAAUGAGACUGCCAUGGAUAACAUGGAGGAAGGUGGGGAUGACGUCAAAUCAUCAUGCCCCUUAUGACCUGGGCAACACACGUGCUACAAUGGCUGAAACAAAGAGAAGCGAAGCUGAAAGGCAGAGCCAAACUUAGAAAAACAGUCCCAGUUCGGAUUGUCGGCUGCAACUCGCCGACAUGAAGCUGGAGUUGCUAGUAAUCGCGAAUCAGCAUGUCGCGGUGAAUACGUUCCCGGGCCUUGUACACACCGCCCGUCACACCAUGAGAGUCAGCAACACCCGAAGCCUGUGAGCAAACGCGAAAGCGAAGCAGCAGU
rnacentral:rRNA from 1 species